AUGUCUUCUUCUUCCUCCGCCAUCAACUCUAGCCUCAACUACAACACCUCCGAGCCACUUACCCGAACCAAUUACAUCCUAUGGCACGCACAGGCAAGAUCACAGAUCAUGGGUGCCGGCCUCUUCGGCUACCUAGACCAAACCAUUGCAGAACCACAAAAAACCCUUACCACCAAAAACGCCGAAGGGAAGGAUCAGGUUGUUGUGAACCCUGCCUACUCCCAAUGGCUCAUCCAAGACCAACAAAUCGUUGCUUACCUCCUCAGAAACCUAUCCAAAGAAGUUCUUGUCCAGGUUGCUUCGCUUCAGAAAUCACAUGCGAUAUGGACCGCGCUUGGGAACAUGUUCUCGGCCAUGUCUCUCUCACAAUUUUCAAGCCCUCGUUGA
rnacentral:rRNA from 1 species